rnacentral:lncRNA from 1 species
CCUCUCCCGGGCUGGCCGGCUCGGGGCCGCUCGCGCACUCAAGCGCGUACACACAUCGCUCUUGCACACACAGGAUCUGCGGGGUAUUCGCCUCUUCGCCCCGCGCCACACCACCCAGCUGAGCAUCGCUUUCAGGCUACCCUGCGGGGGCGCAGUCAGCAGUCCAGCACAGCCGACCUUAAUCACAACACAUCUCUUUCUCUUGUCCCUAACCCCGCCCUACACACACAGGCUUGGAUCAGCCAAUCACCUUGCUGUCUACGAAAAGGCCUUUAUGAAGAAAUCCAUCUUUAGCUGGAGGCCCCUGUGACUAGAAAGAUUUCUCCUAUGCCCAUCUAACCCUGCUGCUGCAGUGUGACCUUCUCCUACCUAGAUUUCUUCUCCUUGAGAACAGGCAACCUUAACUAAAACCAUUGAGACUUCUUCCCCAGGUUGGAUGGGCUCCAGGCCAGAUCUCCUAGACACCUGGAUGGCAGCUUAGCAUAAAGAGCCAGCUGCCUUCUCGUAGAGCCAAAACAUCAGUGUGUGGUCCAGACCGUUGGCAAGUAGACCUGGGCAUCCUGAAUCUACAGCUCGGACCGCAUCUCUGCAUCUUGCCCAAGGGGAGUCUAUGAAGCAGUUGCCUUUCUUAAUUAAAAGGGAAACGAAGAGAUGAGCCUGGAGGCUCGCCACUCACAUUCGCCUGGACACUGCUGGACAAUGGAGCAUGUCCCCACCCACAGGAGAUGUCCCAUCAGCCUCGGCUCCGGAAUAAGAAAGACGUUGUGGGCUUCCUGCCAAUCCCAAGUAGCCAUGUCGUGAGAUCCGAUACGUAAACCUUUGUGUGUUAAGCCACAGCAAUUUGGGAGUCCUUUGUUACUGCAGCGUAACCUGGAUUAUCCUGACUGGUUCUAUGAGAAAGAUACUCAAAACAGUGACUCUAGUGAGCUGUAUACCAAGGCAUCUGCCAAUCAAAGCAGCCCUACACACUCAUGCCAAACAGCCAUAUAUUAGUGGAAGCCAGAGGAAGAAAUUACAUAUUGCUUGUUAUUCCCGGUGUCAUCGAUGGCUAAGUCACCAUCCCCUAUCUUCCUCACAACAGUGUUUCUUCCCAGCUUGAUAAUGAUAGCUGUAGUUAAAAACUACCAUUCAUUGAUCAUUUGUCAUAUGUCGCACACCAUAUAAAGUAUUUACAAGUCU